rnacentral:misc_RNA from 1 species
UGUGGGAGCGAGCUUGCUCGCGAUGAGGCCGUCACAUCCAAUGUUUUUAGUGACUGUCAGGACCCCAUCGCGAGCAAGCUCGCUCCCACA